rnacentral:rRNA from 1 species
UUAAGCAUAUCCAAAAGCGGAGGAAAAGAAACCAACAGGGAUUGCCCUAGUAACGGCGAGUGAAGCGGCAACAGCUCAAAUUUGAAAUCUGGCGUCUUUGGCGUCCGAGUUGUAAUUUGCAGAGGGCGCUUUGGCGUUGGCAGCGGUCCAAGUUCCUUGGAACAGGACGUCACAGAGGGUGAGAAUCCCGUACGUGGUCGCUGGCCUUCGCCGUGUAAAGCCCCUUCGACGAGUCGAGUUGUUUGGGAAUGCAGCUCUAAAUGGGAGGUAAAUUUCUUCUAAAGCUAAAUACUGGCCAGAGACCGAUAGCGCACAAGUAGAGUGAUCGAAAGAUGAAAAGCACUUUGGAAAGAGAGUUAAAAAGCACGUGAAAUUGUUGAAAGGGAAGCGCUUGCAGCCAGACUUGCCUGUAGUUGCUCAUCCGGGUUUUUACCCGGUGCACUCUUCUGCGGGCAGGCCAGCAUCAGUUUGGGCGGUUGGAUAAAGGUCUCUGUCAUGUACCUCUCUUCGGGGAGAACUUAUAGGGGAGACGACAUGCAACCAGCCUGGACUGAGGUCCGCGCAUCUGCUAGGAUGCUGGCGUAAUGGCUGUAAGCGGCCCGUCUUGAAACACGGACCAAGGAGUCUAACAUCUAUGCGAGUGUUUGGGUGUCAAGCCCGAGCGCGUAAUGAAAGUGAACGGAGGUGGGAACCUUUCGGGGUGCACCAUCGACCGAUCCUGAUGUCUUCGGAUGGAUUUGAGUAAGAGCAUAGCUGUUGGGACCCGAAAGAUGGUGAACUAUGCUUGAAUAGGGUGAAGCCAGAGGAAACUCUGGUGGAGGCUCGCAGCGGUUCUGACGUGCAAAUCGAUCGUCAAAUUUGGGCAUAGGGGCGAAAGACUAAUCGAACUAUCUAGUAGCUGGUUCCUGCCGAAGUUUCCCUCAGGAUAGCAGUAACGUUUUCAGUUUUAUGAGGUAAAGCGAAUGAUUAGAGGCCUGGGGGUUGAAACAACCUUCACCUAUUCUCAAACUUUAAAUAUGUAAGAAGUCCUUGUUACUUGAUUGAACGUGGACACUUGAAUGUAUCGUUACUAGUGGGCCAUUUUUGGUAAGCAGAACUGGCGAUGCGGGAUGAACCGAACGUGGGGUUAAGGUGCCAGAAUAUACGCUCAUCAGACACCA